GGUAAAGUCCAAUAGCAGCAAAUUAGCAAAAGAGUGCUGUGGGUUAGUGCCUAGCACUGCUCUGAUUUAGGUGUUCGCCUUUAAAAUUAUUCUUAAAGAAACCUUUUCAGCUAGGUAUGCCUGAGAAUGAAGGUGUUCCCUACCUAAGCCUCCUCUUUUUCUUCCUUCCCUCCUUCCCUCCUUCCCUCCUUCCCUCCUUCCCUCCUUCCUUCCUUCCCUCCCUCCUUUCUUUCCUUGCAGUAGUACUGGGGCUCAAACCUUGAAUGUUACGCAAAUGAUCUACCAUCCGUAGCCUCCCUGUGCAUCCCCAGGACUAUCUUCCGUGCCUGUUUUGUCGUUCCCAGAUGUAGAGAGAGGAUGUGAGAAUCUCUGAGAUAUAAGAAUGAUCAAGGGUAGGGCCAUGUUUUAAUCACACAGAAUGUCUUUUCUUGAGUUUGGGGGAUGGAACCUAGGGCCUCUGCAUGCCAGGGAAGCCUUCUACCACUGGUUACACCCCCAGCCCUAAUCGCUAACGGCCAGGUUCCAGGUUCUGGCUCAUCCACGUGACAACCGAUGGCCCCACCUUGACACCACCCCGUCUUUCUCUGUCUGGGCCUCAGGAGCUCUAGGAGUUAGCAGACACUGACCACACCUUCUUGUAAUUUAUUUGCUCCCCUCUCCCAGCCCCUAACUGCAACCUCAGUUGCCUUUUCUCAGCCAGAAUUCCUUCCCGACACCCUUGGUCACUCUGUUCCCGCGAAGUUCAGCUCAGAUUCGCCCUCAGCUCACUCACUGUGUCCCCAAGACAAUCCUCCCAAACCCGUUCACGGUGUUGUGUUCUUAGGGCUCAUCACGACCCUUGCUCUCCCGUUCUCAAAGGAUCGAGUUAAUUUUCCCCUUUUUCCUAUUGUUCUGCCUAAUGAUUGGAUUUAUGGUGAGAGAAACUCAUGUUUCAGUUCAUUUUAGUCCACUUCAUAGUCACAUCAGCCCUGGGCAGUGGGUAGAGGAGGUACAGGAGCAGACUGGAGUCCAGCACAGGGAGAGUCUUUGAAACACUGGACAUCUAAGGGACAGGGUUCGAGGCCCCACGCAGGUGGCCAGGAGUAGCAGCACAAGGGGCAAGGUGACCAGAGUCUGUCUGAGCCGUGUGUGUUGCCAGGCUGAGAGGGAGACCGUACGUGUGGGUUGAUUCUAACCCUGACGGAGGGUCUUCACAUGGCCUUUGAGCCCACUGCUCAGCUGCCCUUGGCCCACCGGUGUCUGCUCCUGCAGCCACGCUUCCCUGUGCACCGUUCCUCAGGGCAGCGGGCAGCCAUUAAACGGAAGAGGAAGCACUGAGUUUCUGGAGAAUGUCAGUCCUGAGACCAACCCUGGACAUAAUGCUUAAUCCUAUGAUGGCACGGUUGAGUUUUAACAGAGUUUUUAUUUAUGUGUUUAUUUAUUUAUUUUGAGACAGGAUCCUGCUCUGUAGUCCAAGCUGGACCCAAACUCAUGACCCUUCUGUCUCAGCCUCCCAAGUGCUGGGAUUAAAGGAGGUUACUACCCUUCUCUAAACAGAAUUUUCAGACUCUUUUUCCUCACCUUUAAUUUCCUUCUUCCUCAUAAAUGCAACAUCACUGUGUCCUUGCCUUAUGUUUUGCUUUGGUUCCUUUCAUUCAGGGAGUGUGGAAAGUCAUCCAUGGUCACGGGAGCCAGCCCACGAAGGAGCAGGUGGCCUGCUCUGUGGAGCCCAGCGGAGUGCAGGGUGCACUGGUGAUUCCACAGAGGAGGAGCCUGGCCCAGAGCAUCCAGUCUGGCUCUGCGCACCUAGCAACCUCUGAGUAGCUGCCCCGAAGGGAGGUUUGCGUUUCUGAUUUCCCUUCCAGCUUCUCCCCGCCCCCCCGCACCCCAGCUGUGGUUGGCAUGCCUUUGCGUGUCAGGCUGCGUGGAUCCUCUCCAGCAUCAGCCUCUGUCGCCUCUCACCCUGUCAUCCCGUGCCCCUGCGCGUGCCCAGCCCACAUCCCAGCGUGCCCGCCCGCUCCUGCUCCGGCCCUGGCUCCCCAUCACAUCAGGGCUUCACCCCUCCCACUUUUACCCAUCUCGGCCCUCCCUGCGGUGCCCUUGCCAAUGCCACGCCUGUCUCUUGGCCUCUCCCUCCUCCGCCUGCAGGCCCCUGGCUUCCCUGGCAUCCCCCUCCUGCCUCUGACCCUGGGCAGGCUGUUGGUGCAGCCAGCCCAGAAGGGACCACUCAUGCAGCCCUCUCCCUCCCUCCCGCUCUGCACACUGGCCCAGAUCUGCACAGAAUCCGGUCACGUGCCUAACACAGCCCGAACUUUUCACAGUGUGGAUCUUUGGCCGUAGCCAGGGCUCAGGCCCACAGGCUCAGCGUGGCAUCCUGGGCCUGUCGGAUGCAGGUUCCCCCCUCCGACCGCUGGGUGCCGAGUUCCAGGCCUGUGUGAUUACUGCUGGCUCCGCCCCACGGCUCACACUCACUGUUCUUGUCCGGUACCUCUGCCUUCCUGAAGACCCCGAGGUGCCUCCUCCGAGCAGCAGCCGGGGGCAGGGCGGGUGGGAGGAGCACAGACUUGGAGGAGGUGGCCCUGAUCUCAGCAGAGAGGGCUGCGGCAGAGGUGGACUGACUCCCUGCCUUAGCCUCUAGCACAGAUGUUUACAAAGUGCUGGCUUUCUGCUCCUGGAAGCUCUUCCAAUCUGUCCUCAGUGGGUUUUUGCUUUAGGUCAUUGUUUUGCUGACAAAAUCUUCAAUAAAGAAGCCCCUUCUGUUGCAGAGGGCAAGAGAGCCUGUAGGUGGAAGCUCCUGAAUGCUGCUUCUGCAUACUCCAGGCUGUUUGAUGAGCAGGCAGGGUAACCCAGGGCCUGGCCUGCACCAGGCCGUGAUCCUCCCCAGCGCCACAAAGCAGAGCAAAACAAGCCACCCUCAGUGCACAGUGCUGCCCGCAGCCCUUUCGGGGACAGUCCCUCGGCUCAGCUCCAGCCUUCGGCCCAAGGUGCAGGCUCUCAAGAGGUUCUAGACUCCUUGUCAUCCAGAUCCAGCAGCAUGUGUCCUAGAAGGGAAGUACGGGACCUCUAGAGAUCUGAACCCACUUUGCUCGAGUGCUUCUUCACCCUAGACGGAGGGCACCUGGGAGGGUGACCCCCGAGGGGUCUUGCUUUGGCUUCUCCGAGGGGCAGUGGUGGAGUGGGAUGAACGUAGUGGGAGCAGGUGUGGCUGAGUGUGCGGUGUGGGCUGCAGGGCAGGGUGAGCAGCGGUGCUCCCUUCCCUCUACCUCUGAACCCAGGUGACAGGAGCACCUCCCCCUUGGAGUGGGGAAACUGCCAGUGGCUGCAGAACACAGCCGGAGAACAGGGCCCUCCGAUGCCUCUGCCUGUCAGGCCUGGCUGCAUGCUGGGGAGGGGAGUGUGCCUGUUGGUGGCAUCUGCAUUCCCAGGUGAGGGGCAACCUCCACUGAGGCCUGACCAGAAGAAACAGAACUGCAGACCCGGACCCUGGGGUCUGGGGUCAACAUGGGGAGUGGCUCAACACAGUUCCAGCCCUGGAGUUGUUUACAAUAUGUUAUUUGAAAUUUUAACACGAUCAGAGUUAAAUCACGACUAUUAAACACUCCCUUGAUCCAGG
ensembl:lncRNA